CAUCUCUUGUCAUGAAACUGGAGGAUUUGUUUAACCUGUUACUUCUGUACUAAUUACAAUCUUGGGGAGAGUAAGCGGCUGCAGACUUCCUAUGGCUAUUGAUAGGCAACUUAAUGCUAAUGACUUACUCACUCCACCUGCAAACAUAGGGCUUCUCCCGAAAUGUGUCCUCUGGUGUGUGAUGAGAACUGACUUCCAUGUAAAGCCUCUCCCACACUCCCUGCAAACAUAG